rnacentral:rRNA from 1 species
AGUGAACGCUGGCGGUAGGCCUAACACAUGCAAGUCGAACGGCAGCACAGUAAGAGCUUGCUCUUACGGGUGGCGAGUGGCGGACGGGUGAGGAAUACAUCGGAAUCUACUUUUUCGUGGGGGAUAACGUAGGGAAACUUACGCUAAUACCGCAUACGACCUACGGGUGAAAGCAGGGGAUCUUCGGACCUUGUGCGAUUGAAUGAGCCGAUGUCGGAUUAGCUAGUUGGCGGGGUAAGGCCCACCAAGGCGACGAUCCGUAGCUGGUCUGAGAGGAUGAUCAGCCACACUGGAACUGAGACACGGUCCAGACUCCUACGGGAGGCAGCAGUGGGGAAUAUUGGACAAUGGGCGCAAGCCUGAUCCAGCCAUACCGCGUGGGUGAAGAAGGCCUUCGGGUUGUAAAGCCCUUUUGUUGGGAAAGAAAAGCAGCAGGUUAAUACCCCGCUGUUCUGACGGUACCCAAAGAAUAAGCACCGGCUAACUUCGUG